GCUGGGUGUGGUGGUGCGUGCCUGUAGUCCCAGCUACUUGGGAGACUGAGAUGUGAGAAUUGCUUGAGCCCGGGAGGUCCAGGCUGCAGUGAGCCAAGAUCGUGCCACUGCACUCCAGCCUGGGCAACAGAGUGAGACCCUGUCUCAA
rnacentral:SRP_RNA from 1 species